AGCCUGUCAAGGACCCGCAGCUGACCAAUUCUCUGCUACGAUUCCCUGUAAACAAUCCCAACUGGCUGCGCGUCGCAGGCAGCGUCUGGCUUUCUCCUGCAAACAUACGCAUGCGUCCGAGCAGCCAGUGAUGGAGCGCUGUGCCUGUUACAAGCUGUUACGCUUGUUCUCUUUAAAGGACUGAUAACCAAGACUUUAAAAUCUUACCUUCUCUUAACUUUUCCAGGGACAACCUGAAACUUUGCUUUGCGCGCUUGACUGUGUGGCCAAACUGAAGGAUUUACCAGCCGAAGAAUCGCAUUCUCACGGGGCAGAGAAGGAAAGAUGACAAUGUGCCAACAGAACAUAAUGAAUUCCUAAAGAGAACACUGAAGAAGCUUUUAAAAGAAAGAACAAAGAUCUAACAUAAAACGCUGGCUGAGAGCAUUGCCUUAGCAAUGGUGCUCCCGCAGGUUAGGGUGGCAAAACCGGCAGGGACUGUUUCUCCUCAUCACGCUACAGCGGACACCUGUAGGGCUGGCAUUUCAUCCUUUCAUCAGUUCGUGGUCAUUCGCUCAAAAGGCGGCUAGCUUGGUCGUGGGGAAACUUGAUGCAUCAAUGCACAUUUGAGUUAAACAGUAAUUCUAAAAUAAUUCAAACAGGGUUAAUCGGCAUAGAUUAUCCCAACAAAUGCAUUUUAAAAUAGCAAAAAUGUGGUAUUAAAUUGUUACAAGAACUAUGUCUUUGAGUAGUAAUGCCACUCCCUUACGGCCACGUUUUGUUGGUCCCUUAACUGGUCUUAAUAGAGGGGUUUCACUUGGUGACAUCCUGCUCCUAAUUGAAUUGAAAGGCAAGGCCUGGAAGCAAACACAAACCUCACGGUUCAGAGACAAGCUCUGUAGUCGAUAGGUAAGUACAGCAGUGGGCAUCAGUGUGGAGUAGUGGUUAGGGCUUUGGACUCUUGCCCAGAGGGUCGUGGGUUCAAUCCCUGGUAGGGGACACUGCUGCUGUACCCUUGAGCAAGGUACUUUACCUAGAUUGUUCCAGUAAAAACCCAACUGUAUAAAUGGAUAAUUGUAUGUAAAAAAUAAUGUGAUAUCUUGUAACAAUUGUAAGUCGCCCUGGAAAAGGGCGUCUGCUAAGAAAUAAAUAAUAAUAAAGUACGGGUCUUAUGCUGAUGUCAGUGUUAUGAACUCAUCAGCCACCAGGAGGAGACCCAUUCCAACUUGAUGCACCUGUGAGUUCUUGUUUAAAUAUAUUCAACUAUCUGUCAACUCCUGUCUCUUUUGCAAAAGUGUUGUAGUUGUUUUUCUUUGAUGUAUGAAAUGUAUUGAAAAAAUGUGCAAACAAUAAAAUAAAGGCUACUUAAAAUGUGAGAAACUGUAAUGACGUGUUAAAAUAGUCAAUGGACAUGUUGAUGUGAAAUAUAAUUCCAUUUGUUCUAGGUUUGUUAUUAAUAAAUCAAAUCUACCGUCUAAUACAAUGUCUGUUGCUCUAAAUCAUCAUUCAGUUGAACUUCACUUUAUUGAAAGAUUGAAAGUGCAAUUCCUAUAUGUUGCAUGUAGCCUGUGUGCCACUGGUUUCUGGAUUACUGUUGUAAAGGGCACAUCCAGAGUACCAGAUGAGAUUUGUGUCUAUCGGCACCUGUCUGACUCCUGUUGGGCUUGGUGGGUUCAGUGUAUUGUCUCCACUACACGCCAGGUCUGCUGGCAAAUAUUGUAAAUAAACUCCGGGUCUCUAUUAAACACCAGGUCUCUGUCAUUGACAUUGAAGCUGAGGAGGAGCUUGAGUGUAAUGAAGUGACAGCGAUGAAAGUGACUCUCAGGAUUAAUAAAUAAUACUAAUAGAAAACGUAAUUUAAGGUAGGCCUACAUGUAAUGCAGAUUUGUUAAAUUUAGUUAUUAUGUUAUUUAAAGUUUUGAUAAUUUUAAGCGUCCUGAAAGUAGUCCAGAUAAGCUCUUGGUGUAUGUCAACGUGUUUUGUUGUAUUAACAAUGUACAAGUUUGAGAUUAAACAAUACAUUAUUUUUGAUAAUGA